rnacentral:tRNA from 1 species
GAGUUCGAUGUGCAGUGGUCAGCGCACCCGUCUGGAAAACGGAAGACGUAGAUUCAAAUCUUACCGGUGUCU